UACGAAGGGGGCUAGCGUUGUUCGGAAUCACUGGGCGUAAAGCGCACGUAGGCGGAUUGUUAAGUCGGGGGUGAAAUCCUGAGGCUCAACCUCAGAACUGCCUUCGAUACUGGCAAUCUCGAGUCCGGAAGAGGUGAGUGGAACUGCGAGUGUAGAGGUGAAAUUCGUAGAUAUUCGCAAGAACACCAGUGGCGAAGGCGGCUCACUGGCCCGGUACUGACGCUGAGGUGCGAAAGCGUGGGGAGCAAACAGG
rnacentral:rRNA from 1 species